rnacentral:misc_RNA from 1 species
UCCGGCUUAACGCCGGCAGUCCCCCUAGAGUGCUCAACUUAAUGGUAGCAACUAAGGGCAAGGGUUGCGCUCGUUGCGGGACUUAACCCAACACCUCACGGCACGAGCUGACGACAGCCAUGCAGCACCUGAACCGGCAGUCCCCGAAGGGAAAACCCUAUUUCUAGGGCUGUCCACCGUUGUCUAGCCCAGGUAAGGUUCUUCGCGUUGCGUCGAAUUGAACCACAUGCUCCACCGCUUGUGCGGGCCCCCGUCAAUUCCUUUGAGUUUCAGCCUUGCGGCCGUACUCCCCAGGCGGAAUGCUUAUCGCGUUAGCUCCGGCACGGCGGGAUUGGGUACCCGUCACACCAAGCAUUCAUCGUUUACAGUGUGGACUAC